CGUGUAGGUGGGUCUCUAAGUCGGUGGUGAAAUCCUGCAGCUUAACUGUAGAAUUGCCCUCGAUACUGGAGAUCUUGAGUGCGGUAGAGGGAGAUGGAAUUCAUGGUGUAGCGGUGAAAUGUGUAGAUAUCAUGAAGAACACCAGUCGCGAAGGCGGUCUCCUGGUCCGCAACUGACACUGAGGCGCGAAAGCGUGGGGAGCAAACA
rnacentral:rRNA from 1 species